GGACUACUAGGGUUUCUAAUCCUGUUUGCUACCCACGCUUUCGCGCCUCAGCGUCAGUACCGGUCCAGGGAGCCGCCUUCGCCACCGGUAUUCCUCCCAAUAUCUACGCAUUUCACCGCUACACUGGGAAUUCUGCUCCCCUCUCCCGGACUCAAGCCAUGCCGUAUCGGAGGCAGCUCCCGGGUUAAGCCCGGGGAUUUCACCUCCGACGCGCACGGCCGCCUACGCGCCCUUUACGCCCAAUAAUUCCGAGUAACGCUUGCCCCCUCCGUAUUACCGCGGCUGCUGGCAC
rnacentral:rRNA from 1 species